rnacentral:lncRNA from 1 species
CACGAGGUGAACAGAGGAAACUGCAGCCAGCUGAGUCCACUUGCAUACGACUCAAACAUCUCCCAGCAACCUCAGUUUUUUGCAUGUGGUGAGUCGUACCCAUCUGCAGCUGGUGUUACACCCUUUCUUCUCAUUCAGACAACUCUUCUUUCCACAGAAAGGUGCAGCCUCUGAGUGACUCUCCACAGUAACUCACAAGCUGUACGUUUCCAUGGCCCACAGGUCGAGGAGUUUCGCAGACAUAACUCCUUGGGAGCAGUGCCCAGGUCAAGAAAGAAAAUGUGGCCAAUGCCCCAGGAUCUUAUUUGGUCAUCCAGGCUGGACUGCAGUGGUGUGAUCAUAGCUCACUGCAGCCUCAAACUGCUGGACUCCAGUGAUCUUCCAGCCUCAGCCUCCCCCGGUAGCAAGGACUACAGGGUCCCAGAAGGAACCAACGCUGCCCACACCUUAAUUUGAGACUUCUGGCCUCUGAGAAAUGAGAAAGAGUCUCACUCUCUGUCGCCCAGCCUGGAGUGCAGUGGCAUCAUCUGAGCUCACUACAACCUCCGCCUCCCGGGUUCAAGCGAUUCUCCUGCCUCAGCCUCCUGAGUAGCUGGGACUACAGGCACGCGCCACCACGCCCAGCUAAUUUUCGUAUUUUUAAUAGACAUGGGGUUUCACCAUGUUGGCCAGGCUGCUCUUGAACUGCUAACCUCAAGUGAUCCACCAGCGUUGGCCUCUCAAAGUACUAGGAUUACAGUGCUAGGAGCCACCAUGCCCGGCCGCCUCUCUUUUCUUUUACACAUGAAGAAAAAGUGGUCAGAGAAGUUAACUUGGUCAGUGCCAAAAGCACUGGAAGUGAGUAGGACCAAGCUUUUCAUCUAGAUUUGUUUGUUAGACUCUAAAUCCAAAUUCACAACAAGAUCAGAAUAUGAGAAACCUAAGGAACAAAAUUCUAGGAAUCAUUUCUAGAAACUGUGGCUAUUGAAAAAGCACAGACCUAGGGAAUCAAAUUAUUUUCCCUGCCACCAGCACAUGGGUAGGCCUGUGACAAAUUCCAUGCUCUGGACCCCAGAUUCCUCAGUGAGAAUAGAAGGGGCUAGAGACAUCAGGGAAUUGGAUUUGGUGACUUUAAUACCCACUCAGCUCCAAAGCAUUCUUGAAUGAUGCACGAUUUAUGAAUAUAUAUAUUGAAAUUUACUGAUGGGUGAACAGCUCUCAACAUGAGAUUUUUGUUGUAUGCCUUAAAAAAGAUUAUACAUAAAUAUGCGUGUGUGUGUGUAUGUAUGUUUCGAUGUAUAUGAACCCAUGAUCUGAAAAAUGGCCACUGUGGCUUGUGGAAACCUAUUAAUCUCUGCUGUUCCACCCAACAUCCUCAGAGAAAAAAAUAAACAACUUUUUGAAAGUGCUGCCAUGGGGUCAGA